rnacentral:rRNA from 1 species
AGUGAACGCUGGCGGUAGGCCUAACACAUGCCAGUCGAACGGCAGCACAGUAAGAGCUUGCUCUUACGGGUGGCGAGUGGCGGACGGGUGAGGAAUACAUCGGAAUCUACUUUUUCGUGGGGGAUAACGUAGGGAAACUUAUGCUAAUACCGCAUACGACCUACGGGUGAAAGCAGGGGAUCUUCGGACCUUGCGCGAUUGAAUGAGCCGAUGUCGGAUUAGCUAGUUGGCGGGGUAAAGGCCCACCAAGGCGACGAUCCGUAGCUGGUCUGAGAGGAUGAUCAGCCACACUGGAACUGAGACACGGUCCAGACUCCUACGGGAGGCAGCAGUGGGGAAUAUUGGACAAUGGGCGCAAGCCUGAUCCAGCCAUACCGCGUGGGUGAAGAAGGCCUUCGGGUUGUAAAGCCCUUUUGUUGGGAAAGAAAAGCAGCAGGUUAAUACCCCGCUGUUCUGACGGUACCCAAAGAAUAAGCACCGGCUAACUUCGUG